AGGCAGUCCUCUGACACAACUUGGCAAUGAAGGUCAUAGCUUCUAAACCCGCCCAUGCUUCGCAAGAAGAAGGG
rnacentral:rRNA from 1 species